rnacentral:rRNA from 1 species
GAUGAACGCUGGCGGCGUGCCUAAUACAUGCAAGUCGAGCGAACGGACGAGAAGCUUGCUCCUCUGAUGUUAGCGGCGGACGGGUGAGUAACACGUGGAUAACCUACCUAUAAGACUGGGAUAACUUCGGGAAACCGGAGCUAAUACCGGAUGAUAUUUUGAACCGCAUGGUUCAAUAGUGAAAGACGGUUUUGCUGUCACUUAUAGAUGGAUCCGCGCUGCAUUAGCUAGUUGGUAAGGUAACGGCUUACCAAGGCAACGAUGCAUAGCCGACCUGAGAGGGUGCGCGGCCACUCUGAAACAGAGACACGGUCCAGACUCCUAGGGGGCGCAGCAGGAGAGAAUCUUCCACGAGGGGAGAACUCCUCACGGAACCACGCCGCGUGAGAGAAGGGUGUCGUCGUCUCAUAAAACUGUGUUAUGGGAGAAGAAAAUAUGUAUAAGAAACUGUACACAUCUAGGCGGUACCAACAGAGAGAGCCGCCUCUCUCCGCG